rnacentral:rRNA from 1 species
CAGCAGCCACGGUAAUACGAAGGGGGCUAGCGUUGCUCGGAAUUACUGGGCGUAAAGGGAGCGUAGGCGGACAUUUAAGUCAGGGGUGAAAUCCCAGAGCUCAACUCUGGAACUGCCUUUGAUACUGGGUGUCUUGAGUGUGAUAGAGGUAUGUGGAACUCCGAGUGUAGAGGUGAAAUUCGUAGAUAUUCGGAAGAACACCAGUGGCGAAGGCGACAUACUGGAUCAUUACUGACGCUGAGGCACGAAAGCGUGGGGAGCAAACAGGAUUAGAUACCCGCGUAGUCCCUGUCUCUUAUAC